GUGCUCGCUUGGGCAGCACAUAUACUAAAAUUGGAACGAUACAGAGAAGAUUAGCAUGGCCCCUGCGCAAUAUUUAUUUUCUAUUCUUCAGUAAAAUCUCAAUAAAAC